UACGAAGGGGGCUAGCGUUGUUCGGAAUUACUGGGCGUAAAGCGCACGUAGCGGAUGUGCCAGUCAGGGGUGAAAUCCCGGAGCUCAACUCCGGAACUGCCUUUGAUACUGAGGAUCUUGAGUUCGGGAGAGGUGAGUGGAACUGCGAGUGUAGAGGUGAAAUUCGUAGAUAUUCGCAGGAACACCAGUGGCGAAGGCGACUUGCUGGAUCUUGCUGACGCUGAGACGCGAAAGCGUGGGGAGCAAACA
rnacentral:rRNA from 1 species